UCAAAUCCCAUAGAUAUGAAGAUCAAAUAUUGAUAAUGGAAAUGGUUAUUAGGUUUCUGUUUUUUCCUUCAAUCACCUAAGGUUAACUCAGAAAAAAGAUUGAAUCACUUACAUUUCUCCUCCUCACUCUUGAAGAUGUGGCUGACCCUCCUGUGCUAGUUUGUCCUGAAAGAAGAUCCAAAGUGCCCAUAGACUGAACAUGUUCGCCAGUGGUGGAAUGUGUACCAGGAGUGCCUCCACUCAAAGGACCUUCUUGCCAGACCUGGUUCACGGUUGUAAGGCUGGAGGAGAGCUCCAAAGUGGCAUAUAUGAUCAUCUCACCGUUGCUGUUCUCUGCUUCGAUCUUUGGUACUGAAAAGCUCAAAGAACCAGGCGCCAACGUAGUGCUAUAACUAGACACCGGAGAGGUGUAUGCAUAGGGGGCACUGGAGUUCACAUAUGCCACAAGAGACUGUGCCCCCACCAUACCUGUACUAUUCAGGUUGAUGGCCCAAGCAAUCCAAUUUGUCGACGAAAAGUCAGGCUGCCUGUAUGCAAUUUCCAAAGUUCCAUUUGUGUGGCGAGUCCAGUGGAUGAAAGAACCCAAUUCGGAGAGGUCAGUGCAAGAGGUAUAGAGGUUAUUGUUGGAGAAGGUGUAGCUCCCACAUGUCUGAGCAGAAGAUGAUACCAACAUAGAAACCAAAGCACAUGAAACCAACAAAAUUCUCAAAGACCCAUCCAUGGUGGCUGAAUUCAAGGAUACCCAGAGGCCAAAACCUCAACAAAAACAACCUUUCAGAAUCUGGGUGUUCUCAGAUGGCACUGAAACAGGUCCCUGAGGUGUUUUCUCAAUUUGGGUACUUGAAGAACAAGCUCAAUGUGAUGAAUGAAGAAGAGGGGUUCCCUCAAAGAAUAUAUAUAUAGAAGGAUUGUUGGAGAAGAGUUGGGGUGGUUGACUGGUUCUCUCCAUUGAAUGCUGUGUCUAUAUAUUGACACGGCCUCCGUAAGGGAGAGAGGGCAGUAAUGGAAGCAGGCGAGAAGGUGUAGGCACCUGUGAAAUUUCAAAGUUUGAAACUCUGUAGUAUGCGGUGGGGCCACGCACCUUCAACUACUCCUCGUGUUCACAUCUACUUUGUCCAACUUUCCUAAAACUAGUUCAUAUUCUGACUUUUUUCUCAUGUUUCCGCCACCAAAUCUAUUGAAAAAUGACACGAGAAAAAUGGAGAUGCUCAUUCCAC
rnacentral:lncRNA from 1 species